rnacentral:misc_RNA from 1 species
UGAGUUGUAAAUAGGUUUUAGUAGGUUUGUGCUUCAUAGGGAAGGUAUUUUAAACCUGCCUUGUGAGUUCUUAUUUCUCCCAAAGAUUCGGGAAGGGUAAUAUGUGUUGUUUCUAUAUUUUUCUUGUGGUUUAUUGAGUUGUGUUGUUGGUAUAUCGAUGAGAUUUCUGAACCGAUCCUUAAAGGUAAUUUUAGGCCAAGAGCUCUGCCAAGUUUCUCCAUUAUUACUCUGGCACCACCAUGGCUCUAUCUUCAUCAAGUAUUUGUGGAUCCAGCUCGGCUCACUUGCUACUCCUAGGGAUUUUUUGGUUUGGGGCCUCUUUGUUCCGGUUAUG